rnacentral:ncRNA from 1 species
UAAACAGGGAAUGAAGUUCUCCCUUAGCUCAGGCUAAAACUGCUUACGAAAUGAAAGCUGAUGACUUCUGCAU